GCCAUAGCACAGUGGAAUAGCAGUUGCCUUGCAUGCAGUAGGUUCCUGGUUCAAUCCCCAGGGGCAGCA